rnacentral:rRNA from 1 species
AUUGAACGCUGGCGGCAUGCCUUACACAUGCAAGUCGAACGGUAACAGGUCUUCGGAUGCUGACGAGUGGCGAACGGGUGAGUAAUACAUCGGAACGUGCCUAGUAGUGGGGAUAACUACUCGAAAGAGUGGCUAAUACCGCAUGAGAUCUACGGAUGAAAGCAGGGGAUCGCAAGACCUUGUGCUACUAGAGCGGCCGAUGGCAGAUUAGGUAGUUGGUGGGAUAAAAGCUUACCAAGCCGACGAUCUGUAGCUGGUCUGAGAGGACGAUCAGCCAAACUGGGGCUGAGGGCAGGCCCAGACUCCUACGGGAGGGAGGAGUGGGGAAUUUUGGAAAAUGGGCGGAAGCCUGAUCCAGGAAUUGCGCGUGCAGGAUGAAGGCCUUCGGGUUGUAAACUGCUUUUGUACGGAACGAAAAGCCCUGGGGUAAUACCCUGGGGUCCUGACGGUACCGUAAGAAUAAGCACCGGCUAACUACGUGCCAGCCGCCGCCGUAA